rnacentral:rRNA from 1 species
AUGCUGACGACCGGCGCACGGGUGAGUAACGCGUAUGCAACCUUCCUGUAUCUGGAGGAUAGGCCUUGGAAACGAGGAUUAAUACUGCGUAACAUUAUAUUAUCGCAUGGUAAAAUAAUCAAAUCUACGGAGGAUACAGAUGGGCAUGCGUGCCAUUAGCUAGAUGGUAAGGUAAGGGCUUACCAUGGCGACGAUGGCUAGGGGUUCUGCAAGGAAGAUCCCCCACACUGGUACUGAGACACGGACCAGACUCCUACGGGAGGCAGCAGUGAGGAAUAUUGGUCAAUGGAGGCAACUCUGAACCAGCCAAGCCGCGUGAAGGAAGACUGUUCUAUGAAUUGUAAACUUCUUUUGUGACAGAGUAAAGAUAGCUACGCGUAGUUAUUUGCAAGUAUGUCAUGAAUAAGCAUCGGCUAACUCCGUGCCAGCAGCCGCGGUAAUACGGAGGAUGCAGGCGUUAUCCGGAUUUAUUAGGUUUAAAGGGUGUUCAGGCUGUCUGGUAAGUCAGAGGUGAAAGUCGGUUGCUUAACGAUCGAAUUGCCUUUGAAACUGUCAGACUUGAGUAUGGAUGCGGUAGGCGGAAUGUGUAGUGUAGCGGUGAAAUGCAUAGAUAUUACACAGAACACCGAUUGCGAAAGCAGCUUACCAAACCAGCACUGACGCUGAAGCACAAAAGCGUGGGUAGCGAACAGGAUUAGAUACCCUGGUAGUCCACGCAGUAAACGAUGCUCACUCGCUGUUGGCAAUAGAUCGUCAGCGGCUAAGGGAAACCGAUAAGUGAGCCAUCUGGGGAGUACGAUCGCAAGAUUGAAACUCAAAGGAAUUGACGGGGGCCCGCACAAGCGGUGGAACAUGUGGUUUAAUUCGAUGAUACGCGAGGAACCUUACCUGGGCUUAAAUGUACGAUGCAUAAGUGUGAAAGCACUUUUUCCUUCGGGACUUUGUACAAGGUGCUGCAUGGUUGUCGUCAGCUCGUGCCGUGAGGUGUCGGGUUAAGUCCCAUAACGAGCGCAACCCCUAUUGUUAGUUACCAGCGCGUAAAGGCGGGGACUCUAGCGAAACUGCCGGUGUAAACCGCGAGGAAGGUGGGGAUGACGUCAAAUCAGCACGGCCCUUAUGUCCAGGGCUACACACGUGU